rnacentral:rRNA from 1 species
UACGUAGGGUGCAAGCGUUGUCCGGAAUUAUUGGGCGUAAAGAGCUCGUAGGCGGUUUGUCGCGUCUGCUGUGAAAACCCGAGGCUCAACCUCGGGCCUGCAGUGGGUACGGGCAGACUAGAGUGCGGUAGGGGAGAUUGGAAUUCCUGGUGUAGCGGUGGAAUGCGCAGAUAUCAGGAGGAACACCAAUGGCGAAGGCAGAUCUCUGGGCCGUAACUGACGCUGAGGAGCGAAAGCAUGGGGAGCGAACAGGGAUA